rnacentral:rRNA from 1 species
GUGGGGAAUUUUGGACAAUGGGCGAAAGCCUGAUCCAGCCAUGCCGCGUGCAGGAUGAAGGCCUUCGGGUUGUAAACUGCUUUUGUACGGAACGAAAAGACUCCUUCUAAUAAAGGGGGUCCAUGACGGUACCGUAAGAAUAAGCACCGGCUAACUACGUGCCAGCAGCCGCGGUAAUACGUAGGGUGCAAGCGUUAAUCGGAAUUACUGGGCGUAAAGCGUGCGCAGGCGGUUAUAUAAGACAGAUGUGAAAUCCCCGGGCUCAACCUGGGAACUGCAUUUGUGACUGUAUAGCUAGAGUACGGUAGAGGGGGAUGGAAUUCCGCGUGUAGCAGUGAAAUGCGUAGAUAUGCGGAGGAACACCGAUGGCGAAGACAAUCCCCUGGACCUGUACUGACGCUCAUGCACGAAAGCGUGGGGAGCAAACAGGAUUAGAAACCCCGGUAGUCC